rnacentral:rRNA from 1 species
UGAGUAACACGUAUCCAACCUGCCGUCUACUCUUGGACAGCCUUCUGAAAGGAAGAUUAAUACAAGAUGGCAUCAUGAGUCCGCAUGUUCACAUGAUUAAAGGGUAUUCCGGUAGACGAUGGGGAUGCGUUCCAUUAGAUAGUAGGCGGGGUAACGGCCCACCUAGUCUUCGAUGGAUAGGGGUUCUGAGAGGAAGGUCCCCCACAUUGGAACUGAGACACGGUCCAA